rnacentral:rRNA from 1 species
AUUGAACGCUGGCGGCAUGCCUUACACAUGCAAGUCGAACGGCAGCACGGGUGCUUGCACCUGGUGGCGAGUGGCGAACGGGUGAGUAAUACAUCGGAACAUGUCCUGUAGUGGGGGAUAGCCCGGCGAAAGCCGGAUUAAUACCGCAUACGAUCUACGGAUGAAAGCGGGGGACCUUCGGGCCUCGCGCUAUAGGGUUGGCCGAUGGCUGAUUAGCUAGUUGGUGGGGUAAAGGCCUACCAAGGCGACGAUCAGUAGCUGGUCUGAGAGGACGACCAGCAACACGGGGACUGGGACACGGCCCAGACUCCUACGGGAGGCAGCAGUGGGGAAUUUUGGACAAUGGGCGAAAGCCUGAUCCAGCAAUGCCGCGUGUGUGAAGAAGGCCUUCGGGUUGUAAAGCACUUUUGUCCGGAAAGAAAUCCUUGGCCCUAAUACGGUCGGGGGAUGACGGUACCGGAAGAAUAAGCACCGGCUAACUACGUG